rnacentral:rRNA from 1 species
AACGUAGGUGGCGAGCGUUAUCCGGAUUUACUGGGCGUAAAGGGUGUGCAGGCUGCCCGUCAAGUGGUGUGUGAAAGUGCCCGGCUCAACCGGGCUUGGUUAUGCCAGACUGACGGGCUAGAGAGCGGGAGCGGGACGUGGAAUUCCGGGUGUAGUGGUGAAAUGCGUAGAGAUCCGGAGGAACCCCAGAGGCGAAGGCGGCGUCCUGGCUCGCAUCUGACGCUCAGACACGACAGCAUGGGGAGCGAACGGG